rnacentral:rRNA from 1 species
CCCAGACUCCUACGGGAGGCAGCAGUGGGGAAUAUUGCACAAUGGGGGAAACCCUGAUGCAGCGACGCCGCGUGAGUGAAGAAGUAUUUCGGUAUGUAAAGCUCUAUCAGCAGGAACGAGACAAGACGGUACCUGACUAAGAAGCCCCGGCUAACUACGUGCCAGCAGCCGCGGUAAUACGUAGGGGGCAAGCGUUAUCCGGAAUCACUGGGUGUAAAGGGAGUGUAGACGGCUGUGCAAGCCUGAAGUGAAAGGCGGGGGCCCAACCCCCGGACUGCUGUGGGAACUGUACGGCUGGAGUGCAGGAGAGGUAAGUGGAAUUCCUAGUGUAGCGGUGAAAUGCGUAGAUAUUAGGAGGAACACCAGUGACGAAGGCGGCCUGCUGGACCGCGACUGACGUUGAGGCUCGAAAGCGUGGGGAGCGAACAGGAUUAGAUACCCUGGUAAGG